rnacentral:rRNA from 1 species
CCUGAGGCAGCGACGCCGCGUGCGGGAAGAAGGCCUUCGGGUUGUAAACCGCUUUCAGGAGGGACGAAGCCACUCGGGUGAAUAGCCCAGAGGGUGACGGUACCUCCAGAAGAAGCCCCGGCUAACUACGUGCCAGCAGCCGCGGUAAUACGUAGGGGGCAAGCGUUGUCCGGAUUUAUUGGGCGUAAAGAGCGUGUAGGCGGCUAGAUAGGUCCGUUGUGAAAACUCGAGGCUCAACCUCGAGACGUCGAUGGAAACCAUCUGGCUAGAGUCCGGAAGAGGAGAGUGGAAUUCCUGGUGUAGCGGUGAAAUGCGCAGAUAUCAGGAAGAACACCCGUGGCGAAGGCGGCUCUCUGGGACGUGACUGACGCUGAGACGCGAAAGCGUGGGGAGCGAACAGGAUUAGAUACCCUGGUAGUCCACGCCGUAAACGAUGGGUGCUAGGUGUGGGCGGUGUCGACUCCGUCCGUGCCGAAGCUAACGCAUUAAGCACCCCGCCUGGGGAGUACGGCCGCAAGGCUAAAACUCAAAGGAAUUGACG